rnacentral:rRNA from 1 species
UAGGGAAUCUUCCACAAUGGGCGAAAGCCUGAUGGAGCAACGCCGCGUGAGUGAAGAAGGUUUUCGGAUCGUAAAACUCUGUUGGUAGAGAAGAACGUUGGUGAGAGUGGAAAGCUCAUCAAGUGACGGUAACUACCCAGAAAGGGACGGCUAACUACGUGCCAA